ACGCGAAGAACCUUACCCANGGCUUGAACAGCGAGUGACCAACUACGAAAGUGGUCUUCCGCAAGGACACUCGUAGAGGUGCUGCAUGGCUGUCGUCAGCUCGUGUCGUGAGAUGUUGGGUUAAGUCCCGCAACGAGCGCAACCCUUGUCUUCUGUUGCCAUCAGGUAACGCUGGGCACUCUGGAGAGACUGCCGGUGAUAUACCUGAGGAAGGCGGUGAUCACAUCCCCUCUUACUCACACUGAUAUAUUCCCCCACACACACAAAAGAUGGCCCUACACCUACCUCUCCAGUAAUUUCCCCCCUAUAUUACCAGAUGUCCCCUUCCACACACCAAUACUAAUAUCCACCCAUCGACUCGUCCCCCCCGCCACACACACGUCCUGUUUCUUAAACCACCAUAACUACACGGACAGCAUCUCAACCAUCCACGCAACAGAGUG
rnacentral:rRNA from 1 species